GCGAAAACUUUACAAUGCUGGCAACAGCGAUAAGGGAACCUCGAGUGCCAGGUUACAAAUCUGGCUGUCGAGAUGCCUAAAAAGCAUUACAUAGCAAGGGCCGGGCAAGACCGGUGCCAGCCGCCGCGGUAACACCGGCGGCUAGAGUGGUAACCGUUAUUAUUGGGUCUAAAGGGUCUGUAGCCUGCCGGAUAAGUCUCUUGAGAAAUCUGGCAGCUUAACUGUCAGGCUUUCAGGAGAUACUGUCUGGCUCGAGGCCGGGAGAGGUGAGAGGUACUUCAGGGGUAGGGGUGAAAUCGUGUAAUCCUUGAAGGACCACCAGUGGCGAAGGCGUCUCACCAGAACGGACCUGACGGCAAGGGACGAAAGCUAGGGGCACGAACC
rnacentral:rRNA from 1 species